rnacentral:ncRNA from 2 species
AUUCCAUAUGUUGAGAUAGGUGCCCCAAGGGGCUUAAUAGGGAAGUCCGGUCCAAUGCCGGCGCGGUCCCGCCACUGUAAUGAGGAGUGAACCCAAGGUAUACCACUGAGACAACUGUCUUGGGAAGGUUUGGGUAAGCAAUGAUCCAGAGCCAGGAGAACUGCCUAUUUGACAAUCACCGU